rnacentral:rRNA from 1 species
UACGUAGGGGGCAAGCGUUGUCCGGAAUUAUUGGGCGUAAAGCGCGCGCAGGCGGCUGUUUAAGUCUGGUGUUUAAACCCAGGGCUCAACCUUGGGUCGCACUGGAAACUGGGCAGCUUGAGUGCAGAAGAGGAAAGUGGAAUUCCACGUGUAGCGGUGAAAUGCGUAGAGAUGUGGAGGAACACCAGUGGCGAAGGCGACUUUCUGGGCUGUAACUGACGCUGAGGCGCGAAAGCGUGGGGAGCAAACAGG